UAUGUGAUCGUCUCUCGCAUAUCAAUAAGCGGAGGAAAAGAAACUAACAAGGAUUCCCCUAGUAACGGCGAGUGAAGCGGGAAGAGCUCAAAUUUGAAAUCUUAAAGGGUUUCCCUUUACGAAUUGUAGUUUAAAGAAGUGUUUUCUGUUGAGGUUUUGGUAAAAGUUCUUUGGAAUAGGACAUCAUAGAGGGUGAGAAUCCCGUAUUUGACCUUUACUUUCAACUUUGUGAUACACUUUCAAAGAGUCGGAUUGUUUGGGAAUGCAGUCCAAAAUGGGUGGUAAAUUUCAUCUAAAGCUAAAUAUUGGCGAGAGACCGAUAGCGAACAAGUACCGUGAGGGAAAGAUGAAAAGAACUUUGAAAAGAGAGUUAAACAGUACGUGAAAUUGUCAAAAGGGAAGCGUUUGACACCAGUGUUGUUUUUCUGAAAAUCAAUUAAAGAACUGUUUAUGCUAAGUUGUUUAGACUUUAUCAGCUAUCUGUUUAGUUUUGAGCUUUUCUUUAAUGCACUUUUCAGUUAACAAGUCAACAUCAAUUUCUUUUGCUGUAAAAAAGCUUGAGGAAGGUGGCUUGAGACUCGUCUUAAGUGUUUAUAGCCUCUUGCCUAUGCAGUCGGAGAGAUUGAGGUCUGCAGCGUAGAUCCUUCGGGGCUAAAUGCAUUUGUGCUAAGUUAUAGCAUUUUAUAGACAACUUGUUGACUAUGAUUUGUCUUGUAGCUUACUCGCUUAUGUUAUUUUACCUACGCUUAGGAUGUUGAACGCGCACAGAGUCUC
rnacentral:rRNA from 1 species